UGGGGAAUUUUGCAUAAUGGGGGAAACCCUGAUGCAGCGACGCCGCGUGAGUUAGAAGGCCUUCGGGUUGUAAAAAUCUUUUCUAUGGGAAGAAAAUGACAGUACCAUAGGAAUAAGGACAGGCUAAUUACGUGCCAGCAGCCGCGGUAAUACGUAAGGUCCGUGCGUUGUCCGGAAUCAUUGGGCGUAAAGGGUACGUAGGCGGGUAAGCAAGUUAGAAGUGAAAUCCUAUAGCUCAACUAUAGUAAGCUUUUAAAACUGCUCAUCUUGAGAUAUGGAAGGGAAAGUGGAAUUCCUAGUGUAGCGGUGAAAUGCGCAGAUAUUAGGAGGAAUACCGGUGGCGAAGGCGACUUUCUGGCCAUAACCUGACGCUGAGGUACGAAAGCGUGGGUAGCAAACAGG
rnacentral:rRNA from 1 species